GAAGCAAAUACGAUUUGUAACAGAGGCUCCUCCUGGACACCUUCUGUUCCUAACCAUGUCCGAUGUCAAGUUUUCAAGAAGCGAAGGUAACAUGUCCCCCGACAAGUGGCUCUGGUCUCUGAAAGAAAUUAUCACCAAAACAUCUAAAUAUGUGCCAUCAGCACUUGCUGAACAAAACGCUAGGUGCAUGUAAAAGUCUAGAAAAAAGGAAAAAGAAGUUCAAAGACUUGAUAUAAGAAAUGUCACAAAUUGCAUGUGUUACUUAAGAAAGGACAGAAAUUUAUUUUCAAAGAUUUGACUCCAAGUAUUGGCAAAGAUGUCGGGAAAGAGACUUAACUACACUGUUGGAAAUGUCCACCGUGGAAGCUUCUAAUAAGAUCUGACAGCUUGUUUCAAAAUGAUCUGAUCCCUGGCCAUCUCUCCCCAUCAUCCGUUUGCUCCAGGAACACUCUUUUCCCUCAACUUCUAGAACAGUAAGUACAUGCUCAUUCCAGCAUCUGGGCCUUUACCUCUGCUUCUCCUUCAUUCUGAGAGGUUCUCCCUUCGCUCAUUCAAAGAGCUAGCUUGUACCAUAGCUUAAAUGUCACCACUUUUGACAGCAGGUGUCCCUCCUACCGCCAUUAUUUUUUACUUCAGCACUUUUAACUCCUUUAUAGUACAGAUGGACCCCAACUUACAAUGGUUUCCCUUAUGAUUUUUCACUUUAUGAUGGUGCAAAAGCGAUAUGCUAUACUUUGAAUUUUGAAUUGUGAUCUUUUCCCAGGCUAUCAAUGUGCAGUAUGAUACCCUCUCAUGAUGCUAAGCAGCAGCAGCAAGCCAUAGCACCCAGUCAGCAGGCAAUUGGGAGGAUAAACAAUCAAUACACCUAUAACUACUGUUUUUCACUUUCAGUACAGUAUUCAAUAAACUACAUGAAAUAUUCAACACCUUAUUAUAAAAUAAGCUUUGUGUUAGAUGAUUUUGCCCAACAGUAGGCUAAUGUAAGGGUUCUCAGCAUGUUCAAGGUAGGCUAGGCUAAACUAUGAUGUUCAGUAGAUUAGCUGUAUUAAAUGUGUUUUCAACUUAACAACAAUUUCAAUUUGCAAACAGUUUAUCAGGACAUAACCCCAUAGUAAGUGGAGGAAGAUCUUUACAUAUCACAAUCUGUAAUUCUGUUUAUUCCCUCACUAGAAUGUAAAUGGUAAUAUUUAGAGAAAUUAAGUAACUUACUCAAAAACUUUUUUUUUUUUUUUUUAAUUAUUUAAGCACUUUCUAUGGAUAGGCAAUGUGCUUUUAAGGUACAAAAGGAGGCAGUGUCCCUGCUCUCAUGGAGGUUAGAGUCACAAACACAACUAGUAAGUGAUAGAGUCAAGAGACAUAACCAGGUCUGAUUCUUCAGAGCCCUAUCUCCUUAACCCUUCAACUAUACUGCCACUCUAGCACUAGGAUAUCUGGGAUGGGGGAAGCAGCAAUGUGCUUAAUUGGCUGUUCACAUGCUAAUGAAAACUAAGGCUUGGAGAGUUUAAAUCAUCUGUCCAAAGCUGCACAGGUAGACAUUUGAGAGAUUAAGUACAAUCAUCAGCUAAGGCACAGAGCUUUAAAGUACAGAAAGCGUUCAAGAAACAAAAAGAAUCCAGCUUGACCAGGUAGGGCAAGAGGAAAUG